UACGUAGGGGGCAAGCGUUGUCCGGAAUUAUUGGGCGUAAAGAGCUCGUAGGCGGUCUGUUGCGUCGGCUGUGAAAACCCGGGGCUCAACCCCGGGCCUGCAGCCGAUACGGGCAGACUAGAGUUCGGCAGGGGAGACUGGAAUUCCUGGUGUAGCGGUGAAAUGCGCAGAUAUCAGGAGGAACACCGGUGGCGAAGGCGGGUCUCUGGGCCACUACUGACGCUGAGAAGCGAAAGCAUGGGGAGCGAACAGG
rnacentral:rRNA from 1 species